UUGGAUCACCGUUUAAUUUCGAUCCAACCGUUAGAUCGUCGUUUAUUUAUAUUUUUGAGUUUUUGGUUAAGUUAAGAUCAUGUUUGAUUAGGUGAUUGACGGUCUUCCUUGGUGAGCGGUUUUGGUGUGUAUUGUGAAAUUGAAGACGCAGCAGGAUUAGAGCGGGUAGUCCUGCAGGUCAGGAGGAUCAUGGCGGAGAUCGUGCGGAUUAGAGUAAUUGUUUUAGUUUUACAGCUUUGUAAAUUGUGAGGUGAGUGAUGCUCAAUUUGAGCUUUACAAAUUUACUUUGUACAAGUGAGUUGUAUUAAUUAAACUGAGGUUUUCGAGAUUUGAAAUUGAGUGGCGUGUGUUGUAGUGUUUAUUCA